rnacentral:rRNA from 1 species
CCUACGGGGGACAGCAGUGAGGAAUAUUGGUCAAUGGCCGAGAGGCUGAACCAGCCAAGUCGCGUGAGGGAAGACGGCCCUACGGGUUGUAAACCUCUUUUGUCGGGGAGCAAAGCGAGUCACGUGUGACUCAUUGAGAGUACCCGAAGAAAAAGCAUCGGCUAACUCCGUGCCAGCAGCCGCGGUAAUACGGAGGAUGCGAGCGUUAUCCGGAUUUAUUGGGUUUAAAGCGUGCGCAGGCGGAGGUGCAAGUCAGCGGUCAAAUUGCGGGGCUCAACCCCGUACUGCCGUUGAAACUGCAGCCCUUGAGUGCGCGAGAAGUAUGCGGAAUGCGUGGUGUAGCGGUGAAAUGCAUAGAUAUCACGCAGAACUCCGAUUGCGAAGGCAGCAUACCGGCGCGCAACUGACGCUCAUGCACGAAAGCGUGGGUAUCGAACAGGAUUAGAUACCCUUGUAGUC